CAGCAGCCGCGGGAAUACGAAGGGUGCAAGCGUUAAUCGGAAUUACUGGGCGUAAAGCGUGCGCAGGCGGUUUUGUAAGACAGGCGUGAAAUCCCCGGGCUUAACCUGGGAAUGGCGCUUGUGACUGCAAGGCUAGAGUGCGUCAGAGGGGGGUAGAAUUCCACGUGUAGCAGUGAAAUGCGUAGAUAUGCGGAGGAACACCGAUGGCGAAGGCAGCCCCCUGGGCCAACACUGACGCUCAUGCACGAAAGCGUGGGGAGCAAACAGGAUUAGAUACCCCCGUAGUCCCUGUCUCUUAUAC
rnacentral:rRNA from 1 species